rnacentral:rRNA from 1 species
AGAGUUUGAUCCUGGCUCAGAACGAACGCUGGCGGCGUGGAUUAGGCAUGCAAGUCGAACGAGGAGGUUUUUCUUUGAGUUUUCGGACAAGGAGAGAAACUGGAAGUGGCGAAAGGGUGAGUAACGCGUGAGUAAUUUGCCUCUAAGCCGGGGACAACCUUGCGAAAGCGGGAUUAAUACCGGAUGUGGUCCCCCGAUGCAUAUCGGGGUGUCUAAAGGUGGGGACCUUCGGGCCUACCGCUUGGAGAUGAGCUCGCGUCCCAUCAGCUUGUUGGUAGGGUAACGGCCUACCAAGGCUUACGGGUAGCUGGUCUGAGAGGACGAUCAGCCACACUGGGACUGAGACACUGCCCAGACUCCUACGGGAGGCUGCAGUCGAGAAUCAUUCGCAAUGCGCGAAAGCGUGACGAUGCACGCCGCGUGCAGGAUGAAGGCCCUUGGGUCGUAAACUGCUGUCAUGGGGGAGUAAUGACUGUAGUGCAAAUAGCGCUACGGAGUGAUAGUACCCCAAGAGGAAGCCACGGCUAACUCUGUGCCAGCAGCCGCGGUAAUACAGAGGUGGCUAGCGUUGUUCGGAUUUACUGGGCGUAAAGGGUGCGUAGGCGGCUUCGUAUGUCAGAUGUGAAAUCUUACCGUUCAUCGGUGGAAGUGCAUUUGAAACUGCGGGGCUAGAGUACGGGAGAGGAGAGCGGAAUUCUCGGUGUAGCGGUGAAAUGCGUAGAUAUCGAGAAGAACGCCGGAGGCGAAGGCGGCUCUCUGGAACGUAACUGACGCUGAGGCACGAAAGCUGGGGGAGCAAACAGGAUUAGAUACCCUGGUAGUCCCAGCCGUAAACGUUGUACACUUGGUGUAGGGAGGUUUGUCCCUCUCUGUGCCGAAGCUAACGCAUUAAGUGUACCGCCUGGGGAAUACGGCCGCAAGGCUAAAACUCAAAGGAAUUGACGGGGGCCCGCACAAGCGGUGGAGCAUGUGGCUUAAUUCGAUGCAACGCGAAGAACCUUACCAGGGCUUGACAUGGUGACUCUUCGGAGGUGGGUGUGAAAGCACCCUUAUACACACAGGUGCUGCAUGGCUGUCGUCAGCUCGUGCCGUAAGGUGUUGGGUUAAGUCCCGCAACGAGCGCAACCCUUGUGGCUAGUUGCUAGUAUCCUUCGGGAUGCGCACUCUAGCCAGACUGCCCGUUAUAAGCGGGAGGAAGGUGGGGAUGACGUCAAGUCAGUAUGGUCCUUAUGCCCUGGGCUGCACACGUGCUACAAUGGGCGGUACAGAGGGAAGCAAUAUCGCGAGGUGGAGCUAAUCCUUAAAACCGUCCUCAGUUCGGAUCGGAGUCUGAAACUCGACUCCGUGAAGUUGGAAUCGCUAGUAGAGGCGUAUCAGCUACGACGCCUUGAAUACGUUCCCGGGCCUUGUACACACCGCCCGUCACAUCACGAAAGUCGAUUGCACCCGAAGUCGCCGUCCUAACCCGCAAGGGAAGGAGGCGCCGAAGGUGUGAUUGGUGAUUGGGAUGAAGUCGAAACAAGGUA